GUAGGUGGCAAGCGUUGUCCGGAAUUAUGGGGGCGUAAAGCGCGCGCAGGUGGUUCUUUAAGUCUGAUGUGAAAGCCCCCGGGCUCAACCGGGGAGGGUCAUUGGAAACUGGGGAACUUGAGUGCAGGAGAGGAAAGUGGAAUUCCACGUGUAGCGGUGAAAUGCGUAGAUAUGUGGAGGAACACCAGUGGCGAAGGCGACUUUCUGGCCUGUAACUGACACUGAGGCGCGAAAGCGUGGGGAGCAAACAGGAUUAGAUACCCUGGUAGUCCACGCCGUAAACGAUGAGUGCUAAGUGUUGGGGGGUUUCCGGCCCCUCCAGUGCUGCAGCUAACGCAUUAAGCACUCCGCCUGGGGAGUACGGCCGCAAAGACUG
rnacentral:rRNA from 1 species